rnacentral:rRNA from 1 species
GGAAGUAAAAGUCGUAACAAGGUUUCCGUAGGUGAACCUGCGGAAGGAUCAUUACUGAUUUAGCGAACCGAGCGUUAGCGAGGUUUUGCGAUCAACUUGUAUUUAAAACCCACUCUUCAAUGUAUAAAAUUUGUAUUAAUGAUAAAUUAAAAGAUCACUUUCAACAACGGAUCUCUUGGCUCUCGCAUCGAUGAAGAACGUAGCGAAGUGCGAUAAGUAAUGUGAAUUGCAGUAUUCCGUGAAUCAUCGAACCUUUGAACGCAUAUUGCACUUUCUGGUAUUCCGGAAAGUAUGCCUGUUUGAGGGUCAGUUAAAUAAAAAUCGGUGUUGUUGCCGCUUUCCGUGGUGACGCGUCGGAAUUGAGUCGUCUUCGGUUAAGUGACUUAAAAUUUUAUAUGAUUUUCGAACGUAUUUAAAUUUAUUUGAACGUUUGAUAUCGAAUGCUUAUUAGGUUCGGUCAUCCUCAUGACUCGCGCCAAUAAUUUUUCAUUAAAUGACCUCAAAUCAGGUAAGAAUACCCGCUGAACUUAAGCAUAUCAAUAAGCGGAGGA